ACCGUGGUGGUGGAAUUGGUAGACACGCUACCUUGAGGUGGUAGUGCCCUAAAGGGCUUAUGGGUUCAAGUCCCAUCCUCGGUA
rnacentral:tRNA from 1 species